rnacentral:rRNA from 1 species
CCCUUAGAUGUUCUGGGCUGCACGCGCGCUACACUGAAGCUAUCAACACGUUUUCCCUCCCUGAGAAGGGCGGGUAACCUUUUGAAUCAGCUUCGUGGUAGGGAUCGGGGCUUGCAAUUGUUCCCCGUGAACCAGGAAUUCCUAGUAGACGCGCGUCAUAAGCUCGCAUCGAUUAAGUCCCUGCCCUUUGUACACACCGCCCGUCGCUACUACCGAUUGAACGUUUUAGUGAGGCAUUUGGACCGACGCAUCUCAGUUUAACCGCUGGUUUGUGUUGGAAAGACUUCCAAACUUGAGCGUUUAGAGGAAGUAAAAGUCGUAACA